GACGAACGCUGGCGGCGUGCUUAACACAUGCAAGUCGAGCGGAAAGGCUCCUUCGGGGGUACUCGAGCGGCGAACGGGUGAGUAACACGUGAGUAAUCUGCCCUGCGCUCUGGGAUAGCCACCGGAAACGGUGAUUAAUACCGGAUAUGACCGCUACACGCAUGUGUUGGUGGUGGAAAGUUUUUCGGCGCAGGAUGUGCUCGCGGCCUAUCGGCUUGUUGGUGAGGUAAUGGCUCACCAAGGCUUUGACGGGUGGCCGGCCUGAGAGGGUGACCGGUCACACUGGGACUGAGACACGGCCCAGACUCCUACGGGAGGCAGCAGUGGGGAAUAUUGGACAAUGGGCGGAAGCCUGAUCCAGCAACGCCGCGUGAGGGAUGACGGCCUUCGGGUUGUAAACCUCUUUCAGUACCGACGAAGCGAAAGUGACGGUAGGUACAGAAGAAGGACCGGCCAACUACGUGCCAGCCGCCGCCGUAACAC
rnacentral:rRNA from 1 species